rnacentral:rRNA from 1 species
GAUUAACGCUGGCGGCAUGCCUAAUACAUGCAAGUCGAACGGAAGCAGCAAUGCUUUAGUGGCGAACGGGUGAGUAACACGUAGGGAACCUACCUAUACGACGAGGAUAACUACUGGAAACGGUAGUUAAAACUGGAUAGGAUCAAUUGAGGCAUCUUGAUUGAUUUAAAGAUCCUUCGGGAUUACGUAGAGAUGGCCCUGCGGCGCAUUAGCUAGUUGGUGAGGUAACGGCCCACCAAGGCGACGAUGCGUAGCUGAGCUGAGAGGCUAAACAGCCACACUGGGACUGAGACACGGCCCAGACUCCUACGGGAGGCAGCAGUGGGGGAAUAUUGCACAAUGGGCGCAAGUCUGAACCAGCCACGUCGCGUGAAGGAAG